UAUUUCGGUCCGGUUCGGAUUUGCUCACCCCUAAAGGUGGAUACCAAAUGCUAAUAUUAUUUGUCGUUUAAUAUAGGAUGUGGACGAGGAUGCCUUCUUUACUGAUUAUGCAUAAUCUCUCAUGAAACUCUUUGAACUAGGGCAAUUUAUUCAUAACUUCUGGCAUGAUUUGUUUUAUCAGUAUAAGCAUUGUUUACUUUACAUUGAGUCAGCUGAGUCGAGUCUUUAUAUCUGUAAGCUUAUGACAUUAGUAUUCGUGUUUCUCACAACUUUGUGGAAGCCUAGUGCUAUUGGUCGACAAAACUGCUGCGAAAGAAAACAGAAUACUUGGUGCUUAUUAAUUUCAUAUUAUGUAAUAGGCCUGAAGAAGCUUGAAAGUGAACUUAGUUAUUGUAUCACGAACUUGGAGAAAGAAAUUGCGAGACAAUAAAGGAAAAAAGUGGUACAAGGUCCUUCCCUUGAUGCUAUAAUUUUUUUAUAUAUUCAGAACAACCUCUUUUAUUUUUAAAGAAUAUAAUGGAUGCACCUUUUGACUAUUGCCCUUUAUUAAUUUCAGAACACUUCCUGUAUUUGAAUGUAGUAUGGUUCAGGAACCAUUUCAAUUUAUUAAGCAAUGUACUUUAAUUAAGAUUUUAAGACUUAUAAGUGACUCUUUCCUUCUCUUUAAAUUUUCUUGUAAAAUAUAAACCGACUAGCCCAAAAAAUAUACAUUCACUGCCUGUUAAAAUCUUCACCACUGGUGCAUGCCAGAUUUGUCAUUUUUUAUUUAUUCUUAUUUACUUGAACUGAAAUGCAUGAAUAUAGUUUAUAUGAAAGCAGAUGCUGCCACUUAGCCAAUGAUAUUAUCUGAGUGGAACCCUGGGCAAUAUUGUGUCUCACUGAGUAUAGCUAAUGCUCAAGUUUAUGUUUACAUGUCUUUAGGUACCACCUGUACCACAAUCCUAAGUCCUGACGUGUGCAAUUUACUCGGAAGGGAGCAAAUCUGUGGCACCUGGAAUGAAGGCAAUGACUCUCAGGCAUGGAAUCAAUAUGGUUGUUGAUGAUGUUGUCACAAACUUGAAGAGCAGAGCAUGGAUGAUCAGCACAUAUGAGGAAAUAGCUCAGCAUAUCAACUGCAGGGUCUUUCAUUUCCAGGAUUGUGAUCCCAUUGUUCAUCCUAAAGUAAGAAUCUAUAAUGUGCUCGGCAUCGCUAUAUAUGUUACCGUUCGUAGGUGUUUGUUUAUACCGAAUACAAGCGAAAUUGGAACCAUUUUUGUUCAACCCUGCUACAUUGUCCCUGCUCAGGAGGUGUUCAUAAAAUUUCUUUAAAAUAGUUGAUAAAUGUAUUAAAAAAAUUAAGGAUCAUUGACUUGGCGCUGAAUAUCAAUCGAGAAUGAUCUCUAAUUUCCGCCUUAUAAUUAUUUACAAUUUGCUAUAGGUGGUUUGAUUAUGUAUAUGAGAAAUCUGUUAUUUUUUGGUUAAUAUUUUACUAUAGAUUUGAACUUUGAAGGAUUGCACUGAUCCUAUGGGAAGGGCUACUACUACAACAGGGGGUUUCUUGGAGCCAAUUAAAUAGGUUGAAAAUACUUAUUUGCCCAUAACUAAUCCUGGCUGAAUUACCUGCUUAUCCCUUACUGCUACGCCUGUAGGCUGUCCCCUGGUUUUGAGGUUUUUUACGGAGAAUUACUAAGGUCGUGUAUUAUUGUGACAGAGGACGUAGAUGAGGCGAGGCGCGGCGCCUGGCUAAAUAACUACGUAAUGCUAGGCGUGCCUGAGGGUAUUUUAUCUUUUUAAGAUAAAAUACCCAAUUUUUACUAAUGACAAGUGAGGAUGGAGUAAAAGAGUUGCAACGCAAGAGGCGCUCAAUGACAACCGGUAUUUCAUAUAUAGAAAGAACCAGGAAAGCUGCAAAAUUAAGAUGAAAGUGGUACAGAAAGUGAAAGAUAUGGAAUCCAAGUGAUUACAUUUUGCACAGCAGAGGCCAAGGGCUCUCCGUAUCCUGUCUGCAUAUGACACAGUCUCUUCUGUGACACUACGUCAGCUUGGAUCUUCUCUCGACUCCGGGACGCUUAAGGAUCGUACUUGCUCUCUCAAGAAGGUGGCCCCACAAUCGGACUGGUGGUUUAGGUAUAUCGAUCCACAAUCCCGAAGGGCACAUGUUAGAAGGUGCAGUUGGACGAAUGUUUAUUAUGGCGAGCACCGUUCAGGAAGGCAAAGAAUAGUUCGGAUGCAGAAACCAAAGCCGGCAAUAAUUCUGUUGUUCAACCCACGGAAAAAUCAUCUGCUGCAGUGCAGGGCUUGCAGGCCUUGUUGUUAUAGUGUCCCCAUUCGGAAACGUCUAUAGGACUGUCCUUAAACAAGAAUUGAUUUAAACUUAGUUCUCCAACGUAAUAUUUCGCAAAUAGUUUCUAUUACAGAUUAAUUCUAGAUAUGAUAUCCACGGUCUUAUUAUUAAAUUAUUGUAUUGAAUAAUGUGUACUCUCUUUUAUGAGGUCAAAUAAUUCUUUUGUUCAGCAAGUUUAUGUUUAAUUUUAUUUCUCGAUAAUUUUUUCUGAAAGUAAAUAAAGUGACUAUGUUUUUGAACUUGGUGCAACAUAUAUCAUAUAUGUCAUUUUCCAAAAUAGCAUAUAAAUCUACAAGAAAUGAAAUUAGAGCAUGCCCUUGCCUUGCACGGGCUUUAAAG